CAGCUGGGCACAACUCUUUUUUUCUCUUCUGGUUUUGCACGCAGCAUCGAAAUCAAAUCUGAGCAGAAUGGAUCUGCUGAACAGCUCUGCAGAGAUGAAGUGCCUGUGUCUGUAUACAGCCAGUCCUUGGGGGGAAAUGUAGCUCAGCAUGGGCUGUUUCCAGCCUCUGAUAGAGCAGGAGCACUUCCAACAUUGCUGAGAAGAAGGGAGUCAUUGGGAUACUCCCCAAUGUUGUCAUUGCAGUAGAGAGCAUCUGACGCAACCCUUGCAAAUGGCUGGAUUCUUGAGUGAAAGCUGCUGAUCACUGACCAAGAGCUGUGUAAACAUCUCCUUCUCUGGAGAAGAAAAUUGAUUCGCCUGGAGGUGAAAUCCAAGGAGAGCCUGAGAUAAUUUAUAGUUACGCUUUACAGAAAUCAGCACCCAAAUAAUAGCUAUCAGGCUCUGGGAGUUUGUGCUUCUGUAAGAACACCUCAUGACAUUGUUGAACAUGCUGUGGGACAAGGAGCAAGAGAGGCAGGGUAUGUCCUGCCAGCUAUCACACUGGAUAAGGAAAGGAGCCAAGCUCUCUUCUUCCUACCGCCCUGGUUAAGAUGGGACUGUUGCCCUAGUUUGCACAGGACAGCUUUAUUGGAGUUAAGAACACUCUGAUGCUAACCUGAAGAGCAGCAGUGUCCCAGCAUCUCUGU